UGGGUGACGAGCGGCGGACGGGUGAGUAAUGUCUGGGAAACUGCCUGAUGGAGGGGGAUAACUACUGGAAACGGUAGCUAAUACCGCAUAACGUCUUCGGACCAAAGAGGGGGACCUUCGGGCCUCUUGCCAUCAGAUGUGCCCAGAUGGGAUUAGCUAGUAGGUGAGGUAAUGGCUCACCUAGGCGACGAUCCCUAGCUGGUCUGAGAGGAUGACCAGCCACACUGGAACUGAGACACGGUCCAGACUCCUACGGGAGGCAGCAGUGGGGAAUAUUGCACAAUGGGCGCAAGCCUGAUGCAGCCAUGCCGCGUGUAUGAAGAAGGCCUUCGGGUUGUAAAGUACUUUCAGCGAGGAGGAAGGCGUUAAGGUUAAUAACCUUAGCGAUUGACGUUACUCGCAGAAUAAGCACCGGCUAACUCUGUGCCAGCAGCCGCGGUAAU
rnacentral:rRNA from 1 species